rnacentral:lncRNA from 1 species
GGGUGGGGCAUUGUGAGUCACAUGCCUGGAUUCUCACCUGGGCCAAUGGGCUUCAGUCUGUAAUAACUGCAGAAGGAGGAGGAGUUCCUCUGUCUUUACUCUCUUCAGGCAGUUGUUGUGGUCUCUCAGCGCUUGUUGGGUUCACAACCUACUAAAUAAGCCGGCUGGUCUUCACCUUCCUAGACAAGUCAACUCAGAGGAGGUGGCAGGGGCGAGUCUUGGCUCGAGUCCCAGCUGGGGCCAGGCUGUGGGGUGGGCAGGCGAGCAGCGGGUGAUACCAUCUCUGCAAGUGCAGCAUAGCCUCAGCCUAGGGCAGCGGGAGUGUGUGGCCAAUGCUGUGAGCAGAAGCACAGGUGGUGGCAGACAGGAAUAGAGGCGCUCAUGGGGAAUGUACUGAGCUGUUGUGUGUACCCCAAGGUGGAUGAGCACCAGGGGCCAGUUUCUCCCCAUGAGUCUGAGAUCUAUGAGGCAGCAGCUGGGGACAGAAUGGCAGGAGCACCAGUGAGUCCCAUUGUAGCCCCUGCUGAAGUGACUUUUGAAGCUGGCGAGGACCUCCACGUGCACCACAUCCAUGACCAGGAGAUGCGUGAAGAUAUGGCUUUGGAGUCCGACCCUUCUAACCAUCCAGAAGCAAGGAAAUCUCAAACAGAUGUGCACGAAAAAAGACAAAGCAGCUAUGCAAACCAUGUUUCUACUGAGCAUUUACCUCAAUUAUAUAGUUCAUGCUCCACCAUAUUCAUUGAUGACAGCACAGCCAGCCACCCUCAUCUUACAAUGACACUAAACUCUGUGGCCUUGGAGAUAUAUUAUCAUAUCAAGCAAAGAGAUGCCGAUAGAACUUUGGGCAUCUUUGAUGAACGGUUACACCCAUUUACACAAGAAUGGCUUCUGGAGGAAUACUUUAAGUAUGAUCCUGGACACAAAUUGAUUUUCACAUUUCUUCGUACUCUAUUUAAAGCCAAAAGGCUAACAGCUGACUUGGCAAUCAGAAGUUUGGUAUACAUCGAAAGACAUAAGUUAUGCCGAUAUCAACAUUUGUCCAACCAACUGGAAAAGGAUUGUCUUCGGAGCCACUCUUCUUGCCGUCAGGGUUGGGCACAAUGUGGCUGUGUGCCAUGAGCACUACUGCAAGCUCUUUGAGAACAUUACAGUUGAUGAUAU